rnacentral:rRNA from 1 species
GUAGGGUGCGAGCGUUAAUCGGAAUUACUGGGCGUAAAGCGUGCGCAGGCGGUUCGUUAAGACAGAUGUGAAAUCCCCGGGCUUAACCUGGGAACUGCAUUUGUGACUGGCGAGCUAGAGUAUGGCAGAGGGGGGUAGAAUUCCACGUGUAGCAGUGAAAUGCGUAGAGAUGUGGAGGAAUACCGAUGGCGAAGGCAGCCCCCUGGGCCAAUACUGACGCUCAUGCACGAAAGCGUGGGGAGCAAACAGGAUUAGAUACCCUGGUAGUCCACGCCCUAAACGAUGUCAACUAGUUGUUGGGGAUUCAUUUCCUUAGUAACGUAGCUAACGCGUGAAGUUGACCGCCUGGGGAGUACGGUCGCAAGAUUAAAACUCAAAGGAAUUGACGGGGACCCGCACAAGCGGUGGAUGAUGUGGAUUAAUUCGAUGCAACGCGAAAAACCUUACCUACCCUUGACAUGGUCGGAACCCUGCUGAAAGGUGG